rnacentral:rRNA from 1 species
AUUGAACGCUGGCGGCAGGCCUAACACAUGCAAGUCGAGCGGAUGAAGGGAGCUUGCUCCUGGAUUCAGCGGCGGACGGGUGAGUAAUGCCUAGGAAUCUGCCUGGUCGUGGGGGAUAACGUCCGGAAACGGGCGCUAAUACCGCAUCCGUCCUGAGGGAGAAAGUGGGGGAUCUUCGGACCUCACGCUAUCAGAUGAGCCUAGGUCGGAUUAGCUAGUUGGUGGGGUAACGGCCUACCAAGGCGACGAUCCGUAACUGGUCUGAGAGGAUGAUCAGACAGACGGGAACUGAGACACGGCCGAGACUCCGACGCUGGGAAGCAGUGGAGAAUAUUAGACGAUGGAGGAGAGCGUGAUCCAGCCAUGCCGCGUGUGGGAAGAAGGUCUUCGGAUGGGAAAGCACUGUAAGUUGGGAGGAAGGGCAGUAAGUUAAUACCUGGUGGUUUUGACGGUACCAACAGAAUAAGCACCGGCUAACUUCGUG